rnacentral:sRNA from 1 species
UUGUCGAGUGACCGCUGCGAAACCCGAA